rnacentral:rRNA from 1 species
ACACUCCUGCGGGAGGCAGCAGUGGGGAAUUUUGGACAAUGGGCGAAAGCCUGAUCCAGCCAUGCCGCGUGCAGGAUGAAGGCCUUCGGGUUGUAAACUGCUUUUGUACGGAACGAAACGGCCUUUUCUAAUAAAGAGGGCUAAUGACGGUACCGUAAGAAUAAGCACCGGCUAACUACGUGCCAGCAGCCGCGGUAAUACGUAGGGUGCAAGCGUUAAUCGGAAUUACUGGGCGUAAAGCGUGCGCAGGCGGUUAUGUAAGACAGUUGUGAAAUCCCCGGGCUCAACCUGGGAACUGCAUCUGUGACUGCAUAGCUAGAGUACGGUAGAGGGGGAUGGAAUUCCGCGUGUAGCAGUGAAAUGCGUAGAUAUGCGGAGGAACAACGAUGGCGAAGGCAAGCCACUGGACCUGUACUGACGCUCAUGCACGAACGCGUGGGGAGCAAACAGGAUUAGAUACCCCGGUAGUCCCAUG